GACGAACGCUGGCGGCGUGCUUAACACAUGCAAGUCGAACGGUAAGGCCCCUUCGGGGGUACACGAGUGGCGAACGGGUGAGUAACACGUGGGUGAUCUGCCCUGCACUUCGGGAUAAGCCUGGGAAACUGGGUCUAAUACCGGAUAGGACCACGCUCUGCAUGGAGUGUGGUGGAAAGCUUUUGCGGUGUGGGAUGGGCCCGCGGCCUAUCAGCUUGUUGGUGGGGUGAUGGCCUACCAAGGCGACGACGGGUAGCCGGCCUGAGAGGGUGUCCGGCCACCCGGGGACUGAGAUACGGCCCAGACUCCUACGGGAGGCAGCAGUGGGGAAUAUUGCACAAUGGGCGCAAGCCUGAUGCAGCGACGCCGCGUGGGGGAUGACGGCCUUCGGGUUGUAAACCUCUUUCAGUACCGACGAAGCGCAAGUGACGGUAGGUACAGAAGAAGCACCGGCCAACUACGUG
rnacentral:rRNA from 1 species